UAGAAUUAUAUACGGGAAAAAUUUAAGAUAUUCUAGUGAGCUGUUAUAUAACGAAAGUAAAUUUUUAACUGUACGUAAAUUAUUCUGCUAUAAAGCCCUUAUACAUAUACAUGAAAAAAAGAUAAUAUUAAAUUUUAACAGUCAUGCCCAUCAAACUAGAUAUAUAAAACAUAAUGCAAUUCUACCAAAAUGUAAUAAAUCCAUCCUCCAAAGAUAUGUUGGUUACAUAGGGCCCAAAUUGUACAAUUUACUACCGGAUAAUUUAAAACAAUUUAAAAAUUAUAAAAAACAUAGGUAUAAAUAUGAAAUUAAACAAUGGAUUGGGAGCAAAUCAACAAAAUUUUGCGAAGAACUUAUUAAUGGACAAUUCUAAUAAAUAAACUUAAGUAUGAAAUAAAUAUCGAAAAUAAAGUUUACA
rnacentral:lncRNA from 1 species